rnacentral:rRNA from 1 species
UACGAAGGGGGCUAGCGUUGUUCGGAAUUACUGGGCGUAGAGGGCGCGUAGGCGGCCUGUUAAGUCGAACGUGAAAUCCCCGGGCUCAACCCGGGAACUGCGUCCGAUACUGGCAGGCUUGAAUUCGGGAGAGGGAUGUGGAAUUCCAGGUGUAGCGGUGAAAUGCGUAGAUAUCUGGAGGAACACCGGUGGCGAAGGCGGCAUCUGGACCGAGAUUGACGCUGAGGCGGCGAAAGCCAGGGGAGCCAAAGCGGGGAUUAAGAUGAACCCCA